rnacentral:rRNA from 1 species
AUUGAACGCUGGCGGCAGGCUUAACACAUGCAAGUCGAGCGGAGUUGUGGUGCUUGCACCAUAACUUAGCGGCGGACGGGUGAGUAAUGCUUAGGAAUCUGCCUAUUAGUGGGGGACAACAUCUCGAAAGGGAUGCUAAUACCGCAUACGUCCUACGGGAGAAAGCAGGGGACCUUCGGGCCUUGCGCUAAUAGAUGAGCCUAAGUCGGAUUAGCUAGUUGGUGGGGUAAAGGCCUACCAAGGCGACGAUCUGUAGCGGGUCUGAGAGGAUGAUCCGCCACACUGGGACUGAGACACGGCCCAGACUCCUACGGGAGGCAGCAGUGGGGAAUAUUGGACAAUGGGGGGAACCCUGAUCCAGCCAUGCCGCUUGUGUGAAGAAGGCCUUUUGGUUGUAAAGCACUUUAAGCGAGGAGGAGGCUACUGGUAUUAAUACUACCGGAUAGUGGACGUUACUCGCAGAAUAAGCACCGGCUAACUCUGUGCCAGCCGCCGCGGUAAAAC